GGGAGUGUAGCUCAGUGAUACAGCACCUGCAUAGCAUGCACAAGGCCCUGAGUUUGAUUCUCAACACUUUAA
rnacentral:tRNA from 1 species